GGAUGAGUUGCGAACGGGUGAGUAACGCGUAGGUAACCUGCCUGGUAGCGGGGGAUAACUAUUGGAAACGAUAGCUAAUACCGCAUAACAGUAGAUAUUGCAUGAUAUCUGCUUGAAAGGUGCAAUUGCAUCACUACCAGAUGGACCUGCGUUGUAUUAGCUAGUUGGUGAGGUAACGGCUCACCAAGGCGACGAUACAUAGCCGACCUGAGAGGGUGAUCGGCCACACUGGGACUGAGACACGGCCCAGACUCCUACGGGAGGCAGCAGUAGGGAAUCUUCGGCAAUGGACGGAAGUCUGACCGAGCAACGCCGCGUGAGUGAAGAAGGUUUUCGGAUCGUAAAGCUCUGUUGUAAGAGAAGAACGAGUGUGAGAGUGGAAAGUUCACACUGUGACGGUAUCUUACCAGAAAGGGACGGCUAACUACGUGCCAGCAGCCGCGGUAAUACGUAGGGGGCUAGCGUUGUCCGGAAUCACUGGGCGUAAAGGGUUCGCAGGCGGAAUAACAAGUCAGAUGUGAAAGGCAUGGGCUCAACCCAUGUAAGCAUUUGAAACUGUAAUUCUUGAGAAGUGGAGAGGUAAGUGGAAUUCCUAGUGUAGCGGUGAAAUGCGUAGAUAUUAGGAGGAAUACCUGUGGCGAAGGCGACUUACUGGACACAAAUCUGACGCUGAGGAACGAAAGCGUGGGUAGCAAACAGGAUUAGAUACCCUGGUAGUCCACGCCGUAAACGAUGAGUGCUAGGUGU
rnacentral:rRNA from 1 species